rnacentral:rRNA from 1 species
AAUCAACGCUGGCGGCGUGCCUAACACAUGCAAGUCGAGCGAGAAAAGGGGGGCAACUCCCUGAGUACAGCGGCGCACGGGUGAGUAACACGUGGGUAAUCUGCCCUGAAGUGGGGAAUAACACCGGGAAACCGGUGCUAAUACCGCAUAUGAUCACGAUGUAUGCGGACGUAGUGAUGAAAGGAGCAAUUCGCUUCAGGAGGAGCCCGCGGCUGAUUAGCUAGUUGGUGAGGUAAUGGCCACCAAAGGCAACGAUCAGUAUCCGGUCUGAGAGGACGGUCGGACACACUGGAACUGAGACACGGUCCGGACUCCUACGGGAGGCAGCAGUGGGGAAUUUUUCGCAAUGGGGGAAACCCUGACGAAGCAACGCCGCGUGGGUGAUGAAGUCUCUUGGGACGUAAAACCCUUUCGACAGGGAAGAAACCGCAAGGUUGACGGUACCUGUAGAAGAAGCCCCGGCUAACUCCGUGCCAGCCGCCGCAGUAAUAC